rnacentral:rRNA from 1 species
UGCCUACGGGAGGCUGCAGUAGGGAAUAUUGCAAAAUGGGCGAAAGCCCGAUGCAGCAACGCCGCGUGUGCGAUGAAGGCCUUCGGGUCGUAAAGCACUUUUCUAAGGGACGAGGAAGGACGGUACCUUAGGAAUAAGCCUCGGCUAACUACGUGCCAGCAGCCGCGGUAAAACGUAGGAGGCGAGCGUUAUCCGGAUUUACUGGGCGUAAAGCGCGUGCAGGCGGUUUGGUAAGUUGGAUGUGAAAGCUCCCGGCUUAACUGGGAGAGGUCGUUCAAUACUACCAGACUAGAGGAUGGUAGAGGGAGGUGGAAUUCCGGGUGUAGUGGUGAAAUGCGUAGAUAUCCGGAGGAACACCAGUGGCGAAAGCGGCCUCCUGGACCAUUUCUGACGCUCAGACGCGAAAGCUAGGGUAGCAAACGGGAUUAGAUACCCGGGUAGUC